CACGCUUGAUAACGAAAAUCCAUCUAAAUUAAACAUUUCGACGAUCGAUCGAUAUCUUACCGACGACCAAAAUGAUGAACAUGAGGUUAGCGGUGGUGUUACUGUUGCCAAUUUUCUUCACGGAAAUUUUGUCCGAUGGCGAAGCAGGAACCAAAACGGCUGUAGUCGAGAGCUGCAGUGGAUGACGUUUAAAUCGCUUGCCUGAGGUGAAAAGAUUUUUGUUUGACGAUGUCAAAGAAGGAUUAUAUCCAGGUGUUGAGUUCCGCAAGAAGUCUGGAGCUCCACCCGUGUUGAUUAUCGAUGAGGGCAAGGAAAGCGAGGAGAGAAUAAAUCUGGAGAAAUAUGACCUGGAGGGAUGCCGUGCUCUCAUGGCCGAGAAGGGUUUCAACAGAAAGGAAAGUAACGCUUCAGGAAAGGAAGAUUUAUAGGGAGAUGUAAAAUCAGAGGGGCGUGUGAAAAAGUUGUCUAUACAUCUGCUCUGGCAGCAUAAGUACGAAUGAACAUUGUUUUAAUGGACCUUUUAACAUUUGAUUAUAUUCAAUAAGUGUAAUGGCAAACAGUUAUUUAUAUUUGAUUAUACAGUUAAUUCUAAUACUAAAACAUUAUUGCCCUACCUGCAUUAUGAAACAUAAAACAUAUUUUUGUGCCCAAUAAAGGCUAAUAUAUGUAAUAUCUACGCAAUGUACAUGUGCAUUAUCCCAGAACACUGUCUUUUAGAAAUAUUCAGGUUUGACAAUCCCCUUUAUGUAUGUCUGUGGUUGGAAUGCUUGUAUGUAAGAAACAUCUGGUAAAACUGUUCAUUAUCGUAUGAUUGGUAUUUAUUUCCAUCAUUAAAAAGAUACAUUUAUAUCGUCAAGAUUCGUCAGACAGCAACUCGUCUCGCCAGUUUUCCAUGUGGACAAGAUUUUAUGAAAUUAGGAACAAAAACUUGGCUGUUUCUAAUGGAUGGUCGACACUUGAUCCUCAUGAUGAAAACUAGUGGUGACAUUGUUGUAUGAUGUCUCUGGGCAGUGUAAUAGAUUUUAAUAUCUGUGUUUUGUUAUGGAGAAAUCGCAAUAAAAUCUGUGAUAUUAAAAUUUUAUCUGUG